AUUGAACGCUGGCGGCAGGCUUAACACAUGCAAGUCGAGCGGGGUGAUGGUGCUUGCACUAUCACUUAGCGGCGGACGGGUGAGUAAUGCUUAGGAAUCUGCCUAUUAGUGGGGGACAACAUCUCGAAAGGGAUGCUAAUACCGCAUACGUCCUACGGGAGAAAGCAGGGGAUCACUUGUGACCUUGCGCUAAUAGAUGAGCCUAAGUCGGAUUAGCUAGUCGGUGGGGUAAAGGCCUACCAAGGCGACGAUCUGUAGCGGGUCUGAGAGGAUGGUCAGCCACACUGGGACUGAGACACAGCCCGUACUCCAACGGGAUGCAGCAGUGGGGAAUUUUGGUCAAUGGGGGCAAACCUGAUCCAGCCAUUCCGCGUGGGUGAAGAAGGCCUUCGGGUUGUAAAGCUCUUUCGGCAGGAACGAAACGGUGACCCCUAAUACGGGUUGCUAAUGACGGUACCUGAAGAAGAAGCACCGGCUAACUACGUGCCAGCCGCCGCAGUAA
rnacentral:rRNA from 1 species